rnacentral:rRNA from 1 species
GGGGCUAGCCUCAAGGUGAGAGAUACGGAGGUAGAGCACUGAAUGUCCUAGGGGGUAUUGCACCUACCGAAGACUAUCAAACUCCGAAUGCCGUCAUCUUAUACUUGGGAGUCAGACUGUGGGUGAUAAGAUUCAUAGUCGAAAGGGCAACAGCCCAGAUCGUCAGCUAAGGUCCCUAAAUGUAAGUUAAGUGGUAAAGGAUGUGGGAUUGCACAGACAACCAGGAUGUUGGCUUAGAAGCAGCCACUCAUUCAAAGAGUGCGUAAUAGCUCACUGGUCGAGUGAUCCUGCGCCGAAGAUUUCCGGGGCUAAAACUUACUACCGAAGCUACGGCAUCAGUAAUGAUGGGUAGGGGAGCUUCCCAUACGGGUUGAAGCAUGACCGUAAGGACAUGUGGACAGUAUGGGAGUGAGAAUGUUGGCAUGAGUAGCGAGAUGUGGGUGAGAAUCCCACAGGCCGUAAACCCAAGGUUUCCAGGGGAAGGUUCGUCCGCCCUGGGUUAGUCGGGACCUAAGCUGAGGCCGAAAGGCGUAGGUGAUGGACAACAGGUUGAUAUUCCUGUACUACCGAUAACCGUUUGAGAGAAGGGAUGACACAGUAGGAUAAGCUAAGCACACUGUUGGUUAUGUGUGCCCAAGCAUUGAGGCAGUCAAAGUAGGCAAAUCCGCUUUGAUAAUGCUGGGAUGUGAUGGGGAGCGAAAUUUAGUAGCGAAGUAGCUGAUUUCACACUGUCAAGAAAAGUCUCUAUCGAGGUUAAAGGUACCCGUACCGCAAACCGACACAGGUGGGUGAGGAGAGUAUCCUAAGGCCAGCGAGAGAACUGUUGUUAAGGAACUCGGCAAAAUGACCCCGUAACUUAGGGAUAAGGGGUGCCACCAUCAGGUGGCCGCAGAGAAUAGGCCCAAGCGACUGUUUACCAAAAACAUAGGUUUCUGCUAAGUCGCAAGACGAUGUAUAGGAGCUGACGCCUGCCCGGUGCUGGAAGGUUAAGGGGAUCUGUUAGAGCAAUCGAAGCAGUGAACUUAAGCCCCAGUAAACGGCGGCCGUAACUAUAACGGUCCUAAGGUAGCGAAAUUCCUUGUCGGGUAAGUUCCGACCCGCACGAAAGGCGUAACGAUUUGGGCACUGUCUCAACAACAGACUCGGUGAAAUUGUAAUUCCGGUGAAGAUGCCGGAUACCUGCGACAGGACGGAAAGACCCCAUGGAGCUUUACUGUAGCUUGACAUUGGGUCUUGGUACUACAUGUACAGGAUAGGUGGGAGGCUUUGAAACCAGGACGCCAGUUUUGGCGGAGCCAUCCUUGGGAUACCACCCUUGUAGUACUGGGACUCUAACCAUAGGCCAUGAAUCUGGUCUUGGGACACUGUCAGGUGGGCAGUUUGACUGGGGCGGUCGCCUCCCAAAAGGUAACGGAGGCGCUCAAAGGUUCUCUCAGUACGGUCGGAAAUCGUACGUAGAGUGUAAAGGCAAAAGAGAGCUUGAUUGCAAGACAUACAGGUCGAGCAAGGAUGAAAAUCGGACUUAGUGAUCCGGUGGUUCUGCGUGGAAGGGCCAUCGCUCAACGGAUAAAAGCUACCCUGGGGAUAACAGGCUUAUCUCCCCCAAGAGUCCACAUCGACGGGGAGGUUUGGCACCUCGAUGUCGGCUCAUCACAUCCUGGGGCUGUAGUAGGUCCCAAGGGUUGGGCUGUUCGCCCAUUAAAGUGGUACGCGAGCUGGGUUCAGAACGUCGUGAGACAGUUCGGUCCCUAUCCGUCGCAGGCGUAGGAAAUUUGAGAAGACCUGUCCUUAGUACGAGAGGACCGGGAUGGACGUACCUCUGGUGUACCAGUUGUUCUGCCAAGGGCAUGGCUGGGUAGCUAUGUACGGAAUGGAUAAGCGCUGAAAGCAUCUAAGCGCGAAGCCAACUUCAAGAUAAGAUUUCCCACCGCAAGGGUAAGACCCCAGAAAGACUAUCUGGUUGAUAGGUCGAAGGUGUAAGUGCAGCAAUGUAUUUAGCUUAUCGAUACUAAUAGGUCGAGGACUUGACCA